rnacentral:rRNA from 1 species
AAACGAUGAGUGCUAAGUGUUAGGGGGUUUCCGCCCCUUAGUGCUGCAGCUAACGCAUUAAGCACUCCGCCUGGGGAGUACGGUCGCAAGACUGAAACUCAAAGGAAUUGACGGGGGCCCGCACAAGCGGUGGAGCAUGUGGUUUAAUUCGAAGCAACGCGAAGAACCUUACCAGGUCUUGACAUCCUCUGACAAUCCUAGAGAUAGGACGUCCCCUUCGGGGGCAGAGUGACAGGUGGUGCAUGGUUGUCGUCAGCUCGUGUCGUGAGAUGUUGGGUUAAGUCCCGCAACGAGCGCAACCCUUGAUCUUAGUUGCCAGCAUUCAGUUGGGCACUCUAAGGUGACUGCCGGUGACAAACCGGAGGAAGGUGGGGAUGACGUCAAAUCAUCAUGCCCCUUAUGACCUGGGCUACACACGUGCUACAAUGGGCAGAACAAAGGGCAGCGAAACCGCGAGGUUAAGCCAAUCCCACAAAUCUGUUCUCAGUUCGGAUCGCAGUCUGCAACUCGACUGCGUGAAGCUGGAAUCGCUAGUAAUCGCGGAUCAGCAUGCCGCGGUG